GACAGAGGCCUCAAGCGUUAGGCGGAAUCACUGGGCUUAAAGCGUGUGUAGGCGGGUCGUUAAGUACCUUGUGAAAUCCCACGGCUCACCCGUGGAACUGCUGGGUAUACUGGCGAUCUUGGGCCAACUAGGGGCAACUGGAACAAGCGGUGGAGCGGUGAAAUGCGUAGAUAUCGCUUGGAACGCCAAAGGUGAAAACAGGUUGCUGGGGUUGUGCCGACGCUGA
rnacentral:rRNA from 1 species